rnacentral:lncRNA from 1 species
GAAAGGAUCAUUUGGGAGUCAUUCCAGUGGAGAACAGUGACCUUGGACAAGUCAAUUCUCGGGACCCACUGAUCCAGAGCAGUCUGGGGCUCCCUGAGCCCCUGGGAAAUACAGUCCUCUGAGAACUCCCCGGCAUUCCCGGGAGAACAGGUUCCUGGCUCUGGAGCACACAGAGACAACACCAGCCAACAGCCCAGACCAGAACAAAGAUCCAUGCUGCUGCAAGCAGGCUAGGAGUUGGACAACCUGGACAGCAACAAGAGGAGGGGCAAGGAGGAGGGGGUCCCCCUCGGCCUGCAGGCACUCACCCUGAUCCUGAGUCUCCCUUGAGCUGCAGCGAGAAGCUGCCGGGCACCCAGGUGCUCCCGUCCCUCCUGUGGCCCAUUAAAAAGGCGAGCCCCCUCCCCAACCCCUGGCCC